CAGCAGCCACGGUAACACAGAGGGUGCAAGCGUUAAUCGGAAUUACUGGGCGUAAAGCGCGCGUAGGUGGUUUGUUAAGUUGGAUGUGAAAGCCCCGGGCUCAACCUGGGAACUGCAUCCAAAACUGGCAAGCUAGAGUACGGUAGAGGGUGGUGGAAUUUCCUGUGUAGCGGUGAAAUGCGUAGAUAUAGGAAGGAACACCAGUGGCGAAGGCGACCACCUGGACUGAUACUGACACUGAGGUGCGAAAGCGUGGGGAGCAAACAGGAUUAGAUACCCCGGUAGUCCCUGUCUCUUAUAC
rnacentral:rRNA from 1 species